GCUGGCGGCAGGCCUAAGACAUGCAAGUCGAACGGUAACGACACUAGCUUGCUAGUGGGCGACGAGUGGCGGACGGGUGAGUAACGCGUAGGAAUCUACCUAGUAGUGGGGGAUAGCCAAGGGAAACUUUGGGUAAUACCGCAUACGAUCUAAGGAUGAAAGGGGGCCUCUCUUUGAAGCUCUCGCUAUUAGAUGAGCCUGCGUAAGAUUAUGCUUGUUGGUGAGGUAAUGGCUCACCAAGGCGACGAUCUUUAGCUGGUCUGAGAGGAUGAUCAGUCACACUGGAACUGAGACACGGUCCAGACUCCUACGGGAGGCAGCAGUCGGGAAUAUUGGACAAUGGGGGAAACCCUGAUCCAGCCAUGCCGCGUGUGUGAAGAAGGCCCUAGGGUUGUAAAGCACUUUUAGUAGUGAGGAAGGCUCAGUAGUUAAUACCUACUGGGAUUGACGUUAGCUACAGAAAAAGCACCGGCUAAUUUCGUGCCAGCAGCCGCGGUAAUACGAAAGGUGCAAGCGUUAAUCGGAAUUACUGGGCGUAAAGCGCGCGUAGGCG
rnacentral:rRNA from 1 species